rnacentral:lncRNA from 1 species
ACGGGUACAAUUAAAAGGAUGACGAGUUUUCAACUGAUGACCGCCGUACGGUCGUACCGCAAGUAAUCCAUUUUCAAGCCACUAGAUAACAACCUGCUGACACGGUGACUCAAUUGUUGGUAGAUUCAUUGCGAUCCACAUUCAUUCAUUUGCUCAUAUCGACAUCGAUCUUGAAUAUUGCCGAGGACCCGUCCACCACCCGCCGAGGCCGUACACCUCUACUGCACACCCACAUCGUGCUAAUUACAAAACAGACCGAGACAGCAAUUUUUGAUUCUUGUGUUGCACUGCACGGCGGCGACAAGGCACCGCCCAAAAAGGCCAGCACGUAGGGACCCUUCGUCGUUGUCUGAUGGAAAUAAAUUUAAUGUAAUAUGUUCAGACUGCUACACCACCCCCACCGGGUUCCUCCACCACCGGGCGCCGGCUGCGGAGGAACACAGCGCGACGAUUCAAUCUGUGGCGGUAACCAUCUUCUAGCUGCGGCGGCGGCUGCAGGGGCGUCGGCAGCGGCAGCGGCGUCGGCGUCGGCAGCGGCGGCGGCGGCAGUGCCAGGACGAUAUGUACCACAGGGCAUUAUUUACGGUGAGCAGCCAUCAUCAACACUGCUGCCGCCGCCGUCUCCUCCUUGACCUCCCAUCUUCCUCGACCUCCCGCCGCCGCCAUCACUCCAUCAUUUUGUCGUUCCGCUUGCAAGAACCGGUGACCGCCCUGAGACGUCUUCAGGUAUCCAUUCGGAGGUCAUCGCCGUACCUGUUGCCGUACAAGGACCCAUGUUGGGGCAUCCAUUAACGAUUUACGCUAACCGGUGUACGGUGUCACGACAUUUUAGCGUCACGUUCAUUUUACCGUCUUUUAUAAUCGUCUUAGGUUAUAAUCGGUAUGAAUACGCGAAUUUCGUGUUGUCUUAUACUCGCGUAAGGUGUUUGGUUGUUACCUUCGUUAAUCGAUUUGUGGUGGAGAUGCGAAUGUACACUCGUUUGCGUAUGUUUAUGUAUUUUACCUGUGCAUUAUCCAUUUCUUGUGUGAAUGUUUUGUCACACGGAGGUAAUGUGCUUUACUUGUGUCAUUCGUGGACAAUAUGUCGUAGUCGUACUCGAGGCUUAUCUUCUGAGGGCCUCCUGUGAUCGAUAGCGUGACUUCGGUAUUUAUAGCCGGCAGCGAGCUUGAUAAAGUCGCUUUACGGCUCACCACUACCAUAUUGGAACAUUGUAAAGUUCCGUGAGCUAGGUAAUAAGCCCUGUGCGGUCCUUCCUUUUGUCAACCGCAUAAGUAACGUCCACCAACCAGCCGAACUCCUGUGCGGGCCACUCAACGCCCAUAACCUUCACGCCGGGCAUACUCAGUUGGUAAGGUAAAUACUCAUCGCUGUUGAUUGAUUGCCCCUGGCCCCUUUCGUAGGUUGCUAGUUGCUGCGUAUCACGACUUGCCCUUUUGUGCCGUCUAGUCAGCACCUAAGCUACCUGCAGGAAUU